rnacentral:rRNA from 1 species
UUUGCCUACGGGGCGCAGCAGUGGGGAAUAUUGCACAAUGGGGGAAACCCUGAUGCAGCGACGCCGCGUGAGCGAUGAAGUAUUUCGGUAUGUAAAGCUCUAUCAGCAGGGAAGAAAAUGACGGUACCUGACUAAGAAGCCCCGGCUAACUACGUGCCAGCAGCCGCGGUAAUACGUAGGGGGCAAGCGUUAUCCGGAUUUACUGGGUGUAAAGGGAGCGUAGACGGCGGUGCAAGCCAGAUGUGAAAGCCCGGGGCUCAACCCCGGGACUGCCUUUGGAACUGU